AGCGAACGCUGGCGGCAGGCUUAACACAUGCAAGUCGAGCGGGCACUUUCGGGUGUCAGCGGCGGACGGGUGAGUAACGCGUGGGAACGUGCCCUCUGGUUCGGAAUAACUCAGGGAAACUUGAGCUAAUACCGGAUACGCCCUUUUGGGGAAAGGCUUGCUGCCGGAGGAUCGGCCCGCGUCUGAUUAGCUAGUUGGUGAGGUAACGGCUCACCAAGGCGACGAUCAGUAGCUGGUCUGAGAGGAUGAUCAGCCACACUGGGACUGAGACACGGCCCAGACUCCUACGGGAAGCAGCAGUGGGGAAUAUUGGACAAUUGGCGCAAGCCUGAUCCAGCCAUGCCGCGUGAGUGAUGAAGGCCUUAGGGUUGUAAAGCUCUUUUAUCCGGGACGAUAAUGACGGUACCGGAGGAAUAAGCCCCGGCUAACUUCGUG
rnacentral:rRNA from 1 species